ACAAUCUUAUCUGCACGGCUAGUAUGGCCAUAAUAAGACAAGAUGUGAAGUGACUGUUUAAAUUGAGUCACUUUUUGAUAUCAGUCUUAAAUGUUAGCAUAGGGUGUACAUGGGACUCGUUUUAUUUGCGUGAUUGGAUAUAAGCCACAGUGACACUGUAACUUUUCUGCUCUGUGCAAAUAGGUUUUUCAAAUGUUAUUUUUUUCCGAAAAUCUCUCAUUUGUGGUUGUUGUUUGUAUUGUCUAUGGUUUUUUGACAAUUAAAAUGUCACCAAACGUCAAACUUGAAGAAAAUUUUGACUGUUUGUUGGUGCUUUCGAGAGUUUUGAGUGUAAUAUUUUGGUAAUAUUACUUUGCUUUGCGCUACCCCAUGGAUUCAUAUUGGCUCAUUAAACUACUUUAUUGAGUUUCUUGGACAUCGUCUCUUCAAAUGAUAUACGACCAAGCUUGCUCCCGACCAGGCACGCUCAGAUUCCUUGGGAGCUCCUGCUAUCGGCACGAUCACCGAUGCACCGGAUCCCUGAGACGAAGAUCAAAAACAGCAUGCACCUGACUGAUGACCCACUGUCUACCCGGACCCAGGAGCUAGAAGGCCUUGAGAAAAAAGCCCGGGAAGGAUCCUGACGGACGCAGCAAAAUAUCAUUUUCGAUGCUUGUCCCACGGCCUGACUGAAUAAUAUUUAUAUAAUCAAUGGAAGGAAAAAACAGUAGAACAUUGAAAUUGGCUCGUAGGCAAGACGGAAGAUGGUCAAAACCGGUCAGAAAAUGAUGGCCUAGACACGGUUGGAGAGCUCUUGUUGGCAGAAACCACCUGAAGAUGGUCAGAUGACAUCAGCAACCUUG